UCUUAGAUAUAAAUCAAUCCUUAUCUAUUUACCAGAGUACUACGAACAUUAAGUUUAAAACUCAAAGAGCUUGGCGGUGCUUUAGACUCCUCAGGGGAACCUGUCUCGUAAUCGACAGUCCACGAACCAACCUCACCUUUCCUCGUAAUCAGUAUGUAUACCGUCGUCGUCAGGUAACUUUUCAAAAUAUAGAAGUUAGCAAUUAAAUGAUUUAAUUUUCACGUCAGAUCAAGGUGCAGCCCACGGAAAGGAGUAGAUGGGUUACAAUUAAAAAUUAUAAUCACGAAUAUUCCCUUUAACAAAAGGUUUUGAAGGCGGACUUGAAAGUAAAAGCCAGCAGCUAAAUGCUUUGAAUUAAGCUCUGAAGCG
rnacentral:rRNA from 1 species